AUUGAACGCUGGCGGCAGGCCUAACACAUGCCAGUCGAGCGGAUGAAGGGAGCUUGCUCCUGGAUUCAGCGGCGGACGGGUGAGUAAUGCCUAGGAAUCUGCCUGGUAGUGGGGGAUAACGUCCGGAAACGGGCGCUAAUACCGCAUACGUCCUGAGGGAGAAAGUGGGGGAUCUUCGGACCUCACGCUAUCAGAUGAGCCUAGGUCGGAUUAGCUAGUUGGUGGGGUAAAGGCCUACCAAGGCGACGAUCCGUAACUGGUCUGAGAGGAUGAUCAGUCACACUGGAACUGAGACACGGUCCAGACUCCUACGGGAGGCAGCAGUGGGGGAUAUUGGACAAUGGGCGAAAGCCUGAUCCAGCCAUGCCGCGUGUGUGAAGAAGGUCUUCGGAUUGUAAAGCACUUUAAGUUGGGAGGAAGGGCAGUAAGUUAAUACCUUGCUGUUUUGACGUUACCAACAGAAUAAGCACCGGCUAACUUCGUG
rnacentral:rRNA from 1 species